rnacentral:ncRNA from 1 species
UCGGGUCUGUGGUUGCAAGUCGAUGCCAGUCGCAGGCGAAACGAUCCACAUAAGCGGAAAAAUUCCGUGAGCAUGGUGCGGCUUAGAGGUAAGUCCAACCGGCGGCGCAGCCGUCGAGAGGGGCAGUAGUGGGGAGCGCGAACGCUUAGGAGCGAACCCUCCGGUUGGCGAGUGUGGGGGCAAAGACCAGGUCAGCCGAU